UCCUACGGGAGGCAGCAGUGGGGAAUAUUGCACAAUGGGCGCAAGCCUGAUGCAGCAACGCCGUGUGAGUGAUGAAGGCCUUCGGGUCGUAAAACUCUGUCCUAUGGGAAGAAAACAAUGACGGUACCAUAGGAGGAAGCCCCGGCUAACUACGUGCCAGCAGCCGCGGUA
rnacentral:rRNA from 1 species